CCUGGCGGCGAUAGCGCGGUGGUCCCACCUGACCCCAUGCCGAACUCAGAAGUGAAACGCCGUAGCGCCGAUGGUAGUGUGGGGUUUCCCCAUGUGAGAGUAGGGAACUGCCAGGC
rnacentral:rRNA from 12 species